rnacentral:rRNA from 1 species
UCCUGGCUCAGGAUGAACGCUAGCUACAGGCUUAACACAUGCAAGUCGAGGGGCAGCAUUGGGAUAGCUUGCUAUUCAGAUGGCGACCGGCGCACGGGUGAGUAACGCGUAUCCAACCUUCCUGCCAGUAGGGAACAGCCCGGCGAAAGUCGGAUUAAUGCCCUAUGUUCUUCAAUGCGGACAUCUAAGUUGAAGGAAAGAUUCAUCGCUGGCAGAUGGGGAUGCGUCCGAUUAGCUUGCCGGCGGGGUAACGGCCCACCGGGGCGACGAUCGGUAGGGGUUCUGAGAGGAAGGUCCCCCACACUGGUACUGAGACACGGACCAGACUCCUACGGGAGGCAGCAGUGAGGAAUAUUGGUCAAUGGGCGUAAGCCUGAACCAGCCAAGUAGCGUGCAGGGAAUGACGGCCCUACGGGUUGUAAACUGCUUUUAUGCGGGGAUAAAGUGCGGCACGUGUGCCGCUUUGCAGGUACCGCAUGAAUGAGGACCGGCUAAUUCCGUGCCAGCCGCAGC